ensembl:snoRNA LOC120100407 small nucleolar RNA SNORA48
CCCCCCUGGCAGUGGGCAAGGAGACACCAUGUUGGCGGUGGUGCUCUCAGGCAGGGCAGAGCAGACGCAGGCCUUUGUUCAUUCUAGCUUGGUGCCUGGCUUGGUGGCCAAAGCUGUUUCAUGCCUAGGGCACAUGC